UACGUAGGGGGCUAGCGUUGUCCGGAAUCAUUGGGCGUAAAGCGCGUGUAGGCGGCCCGGUAAGUCCGCCGUCAAAUCCCAGGGCUCAACUCUGGACAGGCGGUGGAAACUACCAAGCUGGAGUACGGAAGAGGCGAGUGGAAUUCCUGGUGUAGGCGGUGAAAUGCGCAGAUAUCAGGAGGAACACCAAUUGCGAAGGCAGCUCGCUGGGACGUUACUGACGCUGAGACGCGAAAGCGUGGGGAGCAAACAGG
rnacentral:rRNA from 1 species